rnacentral:rRNA from 1 species
GAUGAACGCUGGCGGCGUGCCUAAUACAUGCAAGUCGAGCGAACAGACGAGGAGCUUGCUCCUCGGACGUGAGCGGCGGACGGGGGAGGAACACGAGGAUAACCUACCUAUAAGACUGUGAUAACUUCCGGAAACCGGAGCGAAUACCGGAUAAUAUAUUGAACCGCAUGGUUCAAUAGUGAAAGACGGUUUUGGUGUCACUGAUAGAUGGAUUCGCGGCGCCUUAGCUAGUUGGUAGGGUAACGGCUUACCAAGGCAACGAUGAGUAGCCGCCCUGAGAGGGUGGUCGGCCACCCUACAACUGAGGCGCGGCCCCGCCUCCUACGGGGGGCGGCAGUAGGGAAUCUUCCGCAACGGGCGGCGGCCUGACGGAGCAACGCCGCGUGGGUGAUGAAGGUCUUCGGAUCGUAAAGCUCUGUUAUCGGGAGAGAACCAGUGUGUCAGUGACUGUGCACGUCUUGACGGUACCUGGUCAGAAAGCCCCGGCUAACUACGUG